UUAUUAUUAUCAUGUUAAAGAUGAAGAUAUGGAUGAUGAUGUUUAUGAUGAAGCUUCAUCGUAAAUAUCAUCAUCCAUAGCUUCACCUUUAACAUGAUGA
rnacentral:pre_miRNA from 1 species